rnacentral:rRNA from 1 species
UACGUAGGCAGCGAGCGUUGUUCGGAAUUACUGGGCGUAAAGAGUGUGUAGGCGGUGUUCCCAGUCUGUUGUGAAAUCUCCCGGCUUAACUGGGAGGGUGCAGCGGAAACUAGAAUGCUAGAGGGUGGGAGAGGUAAGCGGAAUUCCUGGUGUAGCGGUGAGAUGCGUAGAUAUCAGGAGGAACACCUGUGGUGUAGACAGCUUACUGGACCACUUCUGACACUCAACUACGAAAGCGUGGGGAGCAAACAGG